UACGAAGGGGGCUAGCGUUGCUCGGAUUGACUGGGCGUAAAGGGCGCGUAGGCGGUUUGUACAGUCAGACGUGAAAUUCCUGGGCUCAACCUGGGGGCUGCGUUUGAUACGUAUGGACUUGAGUUCGGAAGAGGGUCGUGGAAUUCCCAGUGUAGAGGUGAAAUUCGUAGAUAUUGGGAAGAACACCGGUGGCGAAGGCAGCGACCUGGUCCGAUACUGACGCUGAGGCGCGAAAGCGUGGGGAGCAAACAGG
rnacentral:rRNA from 1 species